rnacentral:tRNA from 1 species
UGUUCUGUGGCGGAGUUGGUUAACGCGCCCUGUCUAGCGAACUUGGGGAGACGUGGGUUCAAACGGUUCAAACCCCACCAGAAUUA